rnacentral:rRNA from 1 species
UACGUAGGGUGCGAGCGUUAAUCGGAAUUACUGGGCGUAAAGCGUGCGCAGGCGGUUCGUUAUGUCCGAUGUGAAAGCCCCGAGCUCAACUUGGGAAUGGCAUUGGAAACUGUCGAGCUAGAGUCCGGAAGAGGCGAGUGGAAUUCCUGGUGUAGCGGUGAAAUGCGCAGAUAUCAGGAGGAACACCAAUGGCGAAGGCAGCUCGCUGGGACGGUACUGACGCUGAGACGCGAAAGCGUGGGGAGCAAACAGG